rnacentral:lncRNA from 1 species
UGCUGUUGCAAUUCAUUGCCUCAGGGCCAUUGCCACAUUUUCUUGUGUUGAGAUGUUUUUACAUUUUGCUGCUUUAACUCUUAGGAGAAUGAGCGGUUUGUGUUCUGCUCUUUGGAGUUGGAAAAUGCCUUUUAUUUUUCUUCCCUCCGUUGCUUAGGCUUCUCUCCCACUUCCCUUUCAGUUACAAAAUGCUGAUGCAGGAGCCCCAGCAAAAGACAGGCAGAUGUUCUCAGUUCAUUAAGGAAUAAGGAAAAUAAGCAGCCGGGAGGCUUUCUUUAGGAUUCUACCGACCGCGGCAACACCAUGACCUCGGCGCACCCUUGCUAACCAGCCUGUGGCCGUCUUCACCCUGGAAAUGAAUCUCCAUUUUUCACUUUUUGAAGUUAUGCAUGUUCCAAAUUCCUGCAGGAAAAAUAUUAGAGGCAAUUCAGAAAUAAGAAGAUCAACAGAUUUUAGGAGGAAGGGGAAAUGAGAUCACUGUUUUCUGAUGUGUGUUUUACAUGUUAACACCAAUUCCUGUUGUUGGUCUUUACAUGGCUGUUGAAUCCUGUCACCUUUUUGCUCAUGGGUUUUGGAAUCAGGUUGUACGUGAGUAUGGAAGUUAAUUUAUAGAUCUUGGUUUGGUAUUCGACUAGCCUCUGUGAAGCCAUAUGGAAGUAAUCUGUGUGUAACUGCCAGAUACAGCGCCUGGAAUUCCCAGUAUGAUGAAGAAAAGAUGGGAUUUUUAAAAGAAUGGAAUUUUGAGAGCGGGAGGGAGGAGGAGGAAAGCAUGAGCACAUUUAAAUAAUUUUUUUUGGAACAAAGAGAAGUGAACUAUUUUGGUAUGACUAAAUAAAAACCCUCACUGAAGAAAUCUGUGGAUGAAU